rnacentral:rRNA from 1 species
GGGAUGAGCUCAAAUUUAAAAUCUGGCGUCUUUCAGGCGUCCGAGUUGUAAUCUAUAGAGGCGUUUUCCGCGCCGGACCGCGUCCAAGUCCCUUGGAAUAGGGUAUCAAAGAGGGUGACAAUCCCGUACUUGACGCGACAACCGGUGCUCUGUGAUACGUUCUCAACGAGUCGAGUUGUUUGGGAAUGCAGCUCUAAACGGGUGGUAAAUUCCAUCUAAGGCUAAAUAUUGGCGAGAGACCGAUAGCGAACAAGUACCGUGAGGGAAAGAUGAAAAGCACUUUGGAAAGAGAGUUAAACAGCACGUGAAAUUGUUAAAAGGGAAACGAUUGAAGUCAGUCGUGUGAAAGGUAUUCAGCCGUCUCUGGCGGUGUAUUUGCCUUUCACGGGUCAACAUCAGUUUAGUCCGGUAGAAAAAGGCGGGAGGAAGGUGGCACCCUCGGGUGUGUUAUAGCCUCCUGUCACAUGUGCCGGAUUAGACUGAGGAACGCAGCUUGCAGCAAUGCCGGGGUUCGCCCACGUACAAGCUUAGGAUGUUGACAUAAUGGCUUUAAACGACCCGUCUUG